CAGUUACAUGAGGUUACCAGACAGUGAACAACUUAAGUCUUUGCCUUCCCUAUUAAGAGUUUCCAGAGAUAAGGCCAUCCCCCCUUCCUUUUGGUGCAGGGAGGGAGACACCCCCACAGAUGGAGACUUCCUUCACAAAUGCAAAUGUCUCUCAUCAAAGGGCAAGCAAAUUCCACUCCUCAGAGCCUCCUUCUUGUCUGCAUUUUUUAAAAUUAACCAGCCUAAAAUAAUCCUCAUCACCACCUGCACUGAUACCAUUUUAAUGACUUUUUAACAUAAUCUUUCCUUUGUUUUGUAAAGAAAUAAUUCACAUACCUAUGCUUUGUAAAUUUAGCCCUACCUUCAACUCAUUGCAGCUCUUCACUGCCCAUGGGUCCUGUCCCCAUGCUACUCCAUGCUAUUCUCUGAAUAAAGGAACACUACUCCCAGACCUUGAGAGUCCAAGAAAUCUUUCUUUUGACUCCUCGGCUCACUGAGCCCGCAUCAGUUCCUCUCUAUAAAAUGGCGUCCUUUGUGCUAACCUAUGUUAACCAUGGACUGUGUUUAUCUUAGCUUUCAGGUGGUGCUAACAUGAAUGCUCUUAAAGCUUAGAAGUUUGUUAGAAUUCAAAAAUUUUAAAGUGAAUAACUAGUGUUUGGAUGCUAUUUACAGUCAGCACAGGGAAACAAUGGCAUAUUGUUUACACUAGCAAAUUAGAAAUGUUUCUGCACCACACUCAUGAAUAAAAUUUUAAAGCAAACUCUUACUCAAUGGCUAGGAAAAUACAUUCUGCAUUGAGUGUUAAAGUUAUACAAUUAAAAAUAUACUCUUUAAAAAAAAUGACUAAAAAUGACAAAUGUGUUUUAAGGAUCAUCUACCUGAGGGUGACAGCUCAGCUUUAUCUGUGGAGCCAGUUUCAGCAACUUGGGGCAGCCUGGCCCUGAAUUAAAAAUUUUGAAGUCACUUCUGGGUCCAGCAAGAGAGACCAACUGUCAGUCACUAACGUUUGCUUUGGAAAAGUCCAGUUAGAGAAAGGGUGGCAGCACCCUUUCAAAUUACCGACGAAGACAGUGAGUGUCAAAACUAUGGCAUUAAGUUAUUUGCAUUUUCUAGGACUGCACCAAUGAAGACACUACCAUUUCUGCAGGGUUUGCACAGAAGGCAAACCUUCCAUCCUGACAGGUAAUCUGGUAAAGGAGUAAGUGAGCCAUUGGCCCUUCAUCAUAUGAAUAGUAUAGAUUCAAAAGGAGAAAGCAGCCAAAGGUUAGAAAGGUUGAUAAACACAGCAAUGGAAAAGAUGUGGGGAAGCCGGCAUUCACUUUUUCUAUUGAUGGGAGUAUAAAAUGGCACAACUCUUAGGGUGGUUCAUCAGGAAACGGUAGUGGAAAUUUGUCAUGCGCAAACUGACUCCACUAUCCUACUUCUAAGGUGUUAUUCUAAAGAAAUAAUAAACAAGUGACUGCAUUUGAUUCCCUAACCUCUUAAAUUCAAGUUCACGUGCUGGAUGUGCAGCAAGCCAAACACUUAGACAUCGGUGCUUGGAGAUGGAGAAAGGCCCCAUUAGAGUUGACCAAGCUGAGAGGUGGGAGCCUGGCUUUGCUCAAAUGCACCUUCACAAGAGCAGAAAACAGGAUUGUACAGAGCUAAGGGGCUGGGCAGGAGGAGCUCUGGGGAAACAAAGGGGUCACUCCUGAUAAGCCCCUGGGCGAUCUGACUUCUUUGCUUCAACAGCAGCUAGGGGCCCGCCAUCUGGUGAUGCAACAUCCCCGAAGGCAUUGUCUUUCUUCUGCAAAACAAGCUCACAAAUCCUGGAGACCACUGAGCCACCCCUCAAGUUAAACAGGAAAACGGCAAAUUGCUUAUUGAAUAUGCACAGUAACCCUCAGCUCACCUGUGACCACUCAGCUGGAGACAACAGACUGCCACCCUGCCUUGUUCACUGAGACAGAAGACCUACCUGCUGUUUCCAUCAAUCGCUGUGCCCACAGAGCAGUCUCGAGACUAUUGUAAAAGGGACAUUUCAAUCCUAUGUGAAACAUCCUCUCUGGGGGUACAUAACCACUCUGUGCACCCCACUUCUUUGGUGCCCUUUCUUCCUUUGGGAAGAAAGGCCCCGGGUUAUAAUCCUCAGAUUUAAGCCCAGAAUAAACUCACCCAAAUUUUCAUUUAUGGAUUAUUUUCGUCGACAACACAAAUUCAGUUGAAGCACUUUAUGUUUCAAGAAAGUGAAAAUGUAAAUACAGUUCAUGAAUGGCCUUGGGCACAAUAGAGAUUAGGCAGAGCUUAUUAUUAAGAACAAUUAGAACAAUGUAAACACUGGAUUUUAUGUACUGGUUUAUAUGUGAAAUCCGAUCUGGCG
ensembl:lncRNA